ensembl:lncRNA
CCCGGCCGCGGGCAGAGGCAGAGGUCGGCCCCACGGCGGGGCGGCGCGGCGCGCUGCCGGCACACGCUGCUGCGGUAUUGAUCCGGGGGGAAAGAUAAACAGCGAAGCCGGCCCCUGUGUCCUGAAUGCUAAUGCGCGCGCCUUCCGCAUUUUAAUUGUUGUUCACUUCUUAUUUCCACCGCAAACAUUCGCCGCCCUCAGCGUGGCGAUUCCCCCCUCCGUCUUUAUUUCACUUCGCUCGCUCUCCUUCAGCUUUCUUCCUCCCGUUUUGGUUUCUUUUCUUUUUCCCCCGACUCCUCCCGUCGGAACCUCGCCUCGAAUUUCCCCACCGACGCCGGGGACAGCGGCUCCGCUCCGUGCCUCGCCCCAUCCCCGCGCAGCGCAGCGCCGCUCCCACCGCUCCUCUUCGGGCUGCGCGGCUCAGCCAGCAGCGCACGGCUCAGCCCGGACCCCCUCCCCCCUCACACCGCUGCUCCGGGACCCACGGACCGCGCACUUAAGGGGCAAUUAAGCGGGUCGAGCCGACGCGUCAGACAGCGAGGAGACGCUCAGCUCGAAUUCCCGUCAUUACAAAUGAUUUUCACGAAGGGAUCUCCUAAAAUAUGGUCGUUUGUUCUCCUCCUUUACCCUUCCCAGGGUGUUUUUUAGUCCACGAAUGAUUUACUGCGGAGGUAACGUCGGAGGACGCGGUUAACAGAGUGACUUAUUGGGGCGAACAGCCCGGGCUGACACCUCCGUGUGCCCACACCGCACCGCACCGCUCCGCUCCGCACCGCUCCGCAUUCCUUCACAGCGCGGACUCCCGGCCGACAUCAAACGACCCCCGGCGAGCGCGGCGGUUUUAAGACACGGGGAAAUGAAAACUAAAUACGGGCUUAAAGUAUAAAACAAAAUUCGGGAGGAGAGGCGUAGAUCGCUUCGGUACAAUCCCGCGGGGGCAGAGCCCGAGCAGCCGACUCGGGCCGGAGCAGAAGCGGUCCUUCCGCUGACCGCUAUUUACUGCCGCGUUAUCGCGGCGGUGGUUUUAAUUCCCGGUGGGAACGUCGGGCCGAGAGCGGUACCCGCAGUUUCCCCCAACGCUCUUUCCCCAUUUCUUUGGUGCCGGCGUUACGAGGCUGCAACAUAAGGAAAACGUUUCCACCGUUCCGCUUAACGCCCUUCACUUCUCCCCGGCACUUUGGCUUUGAGAGGCUUCUCUCGUCACCGGCACGGACGCCGCUCCUCUUUUUCCCGUUAUUUUGGGUACGGCGAAGGCGGCUUUCAGCUCCCUGCUCGCCCAUAUCCCGCUGCCCCCCCCGGCUCCUCCGCAGCCCUCCCCGACCUCCGUUGUGCGCCCCGGGGGAGGGCAAACCCCGGAUGCCGCAGUGCUCCCCCCCUUAUCUCCCCCUCCGCCCCGUCCCGGAGCGCUGCUCUGCGCGGGGGGAAGGGGGGGGGGGAGGGGGUUGCGGGGCCGCGUUUGUCCCCCUUUGUUACUCGAGCAUUUGAGAAGAAAAUACUCUAAAGAAAUUAAAUACGGAAAGAGAGGAUAGAAAAACCAAAGCGAAGGAUUCGCUUUAGGAAAUAGACCAAACAACACCCUACAUUAAUAUAUCCGUUCCGCGUCCGCGGACUGAGCCCACGGCCGGGUCAGCCCCUUCCGAAACGCUCCGCCCGAGCCCGACCCGACGGCUGCGCCCCGUGCCCGCUGCCUCGGCGUUGCUCUGCGCUCAACCUGCCCUCCCGCUGCUCUCCCUGCGGGGUCCGGCCGUAGGCAGUGCCGGGACGUGCGGCGGCCGCGGGGUUGCCGUCGGGGCGCAGCUGUGUGGCUCCCAUUUUGACAAACAGCGCUCGCAUAGAGGCGGAGGGCCACGGGUUCCAGCCCGUCUCCAGCUCUUCCCCCAGCAGCCGUCAAAAGAAUAAAUAAAUAAAUAAAUAAAUAAAUAAAUAAAUAAAUAAAUAAAUAAAAGAGGGGCUAAGAUUCCCGUUUUCGGCUUUUAUAUCCGAGGCUGCGGCUUGGUAAAUCCGCGGAAUUUUUUUUUUCUCCGUGUGUGGAAGCUGCCGGCUCCCGCGGACAGGUGCGGAGCUCCCACUCAGGAGCGCAGAGCCCCCGCGAUCCCCGACGGGGCGUGAGGAGCCGUGACCUCCGAGAGCCGUCGGGGAGAGAGGGGUAUGGGAAAGGUGGGCGGCCCCCCUUCCCCGAGUCCAUUCCCUGCGCGCUACCCCGGGGCCGACCUUGAAUUAAAACCCCGAUGGGGUUCCCUGAAACAAUGGGAACGCCGCUCGCAGGGGGGCUCUGGGGCUGAGGCCGGGCUGGCCCCGCGCCCUGCGUUAUUUAGGGGAAUGCGGGAACACGGAGACGGCUCUCGCCCCCCAAAAAUCGAUUGACGCAAAUUUUGCAGAGAGGGAAGGAGCUUCAAUUCUCGGGGCGACCCGUAUGGCAAUACGGUGAGCUCGGUCCCCUCGGAGGAAGCACCG